GACGAACGCUGGCGGCGUGCUUAACACAUGCAAGUCGAACGGAAAGGCCCUGCUUUUGUGGGGUGCUCGAGUGGCGAACGGGUGAGUAACACGUGAGUAACCUGCCCUUGACUUUGGGAUAACUUCAGGAAACUGGGGCUACUACCGGAUAGGAGCUCCUGCUGCAUGGUGGGGGUUGGAAAGUUUCGGCGGUUGGGGAUGGACUCGCGGCUUAUCAGCUUGUUGGUGGGGUAGUGGCUUACCAAGGCUUUGACGGGUAGCCGGCCUGAGAGGGUGACCGGCGACAUUGGGACUGAGAGACGGCCCAGACUCCUACGGGGGGCAGCAGUGGGGAAUAUUGCACAAUGGGCGGAAGCCUGAGGCAGCAACGCCGCGUGCGGGAUGACGGCCUUCGGGUUGUAAACCGCUUUCGCCUGUGACGAAGCGUUAGUGACGGUAAUGGGUAAAGAAGCACCGGCUAACUACGUG
rnacentral:rRNA from 1 species